CCUACGGGUGGCAGCAGUGAGGAAUAUUGGUCAAUGGCCGGAAGGCUGAACCAGCCAUGCCGCGUGAAGGUCAGUGCCCUAUGGGCGUUAAACUUCUUUUGUGCGGGAGCAAUAAUGGUCACGUGUGGCCAGACGAGAGUACCGUAAGAAUAAGCAUCGGCUAACUCCGUGCCAGGAGCCGCGGUAAUCCGGGGGAUGCAAUCGUUAUACCGAUGUAUUGGGGUUAAAGGGGGCGUAGGCUGUGAGGUAAGUCAGCGGUGAAAUGCCCCCGCUCAACGGGGUGAAGUGCCAUUGAUACGGGCUUGCUGGAAUGCGGAUGCCGUGGGAGGAAUGUGUGGUGUAGCGGUGAAAUGCAUAGAUAUCACACAGAACACCGAUUGCGAAGGCAUCUCACGAGUCCGCGAUUGACGCUGAUGCACGAAAGCGUGGGUAUCAAACAGGAUUAGAUACCCCUGUAGUC
rnacentral:rRNA from 1 species